CCCCUAGAUGUUCUGGGCCGCACGCGCGCUACACUGAACAGUUCAACAAGUCUUAACCUUGGCCGAUAGGUCUAGGUAAUCUUUGAACGCUGUUCGUGACUGGGAUAGACCUUUGCAAUUAUGGGUCUUCAACGAGGAAUUCCUAGUAAACGCAAGUCAUCAGCUUGCAUUGAUUACGUCCCUGCCCUUUGUACACACCGCCCGUCGCACCUACCGAUUGAAUGGUCCGGUGAAAUCUCUGGACGGCGGCUUGGUCGCUUGCGUCCGACUGCUGAAACUUGAUUAAACCAUAUCAUUUAGAGGAAGGUGAAGUCGUAACA
rnacentral:rRNA from 1 species